UGAAGAUGCUCAAAAGACUGCUUCCAACCCAGUGACAUGCUGCAGGAGAGAAGUCCCCUGGAAGUGCUCACGUUCCCAAUGUACCUGUGAGGACAUUCUCCACCACACACCUUGAUCUGAAAUUCAUUGCUGGAGAAAAAUGAAAGGCUGCUAUAAAGAAUAUGAAUUGUGAUGGCUGCAGUGCAGAAGAAUAAGGGGAAAGCUAUUACCACGCCCCUCCACUCCCCCAAGUCUUCUUGAGGAAGAUUGAACCUGUCAGCCUCUGGACCCAGAGGGACAUUGGAUGGACAGACUCAACAACAGAGAAAAGAGCCAAAGAAGUGGUGGAGGCCCCUCAGUUUCCCUCAGCUUCAGGAACGCUGAGAAACAGUCAGGGAAACAGAAGAGCGUGCUCUGACUGUAACCGUCAGCAACCCCUCCCAAAGGGGAAAGAGGCAUCACAUCACCUUUUUUCCCCAAGGUGUCUGUGUGUAAGUGCAGUGGAACUUGAUACUUUGCUAAGUUUGUUCCUGUCUAGUCAGGCUAAAGUUAUUUCAGAAAGAAAAAUAAAUAAAUAAAGGAGCAGAGUUAACAUUAUGAGAAAUAAAUGCUUUAUUUUUAGCAAUAAUGUGUCUUGCAAAAGGGAAGUAUU